UACGUAGGGCGCAAGCGUUAUCCGGAAUUAUUGGGCGUAAAGAGCUCGUAGGCGGUGUGUCGCGUCGGUCGUGAAAACUUGGGGCUUAACCCUGAGCUUGCGGUCGAUACGGGCAUCACUGGAGUUCGGCAGGGGAGACUGGAAUUCCCGGUGUAGCGGUGAAAUGCGCAGAUAUCAGGAGGAACACCGGUGGCGAAGGCGGCUUUCUGGGCCUUACCUGACGCUGAGGAGCGAAAGCUGGGGGGAGCGAACGGG
rnacentral:rRNA from 1 species